rnacentral:misc_RNA from 1 species
GAUGAAGAACGUAGCGAAAUGCGAUAAGUAAUGUGAAUUGCAGAAUUCAGUGAAUCAUCGAAUCUUUGAACGCAUCUUGCGCUCCUUGGUAUUCCGAGGAGCAUGCCUGUUUGAGUGUCAUUUAACUUCUCAACCACAUUGGAUAUUUUUUUUCCGAUGCCGGCUUGGAUGUGGGGGUUGUUUGCAGGCUUUUUGUAACAAAAAAGGUCGGCUCCCCUGAAAUGUAUUAGUAGUAUCUGAGGCUAUUACUAUUAGGUGUGAUAAUUAUCUAUGCCUUUUGGGUAUGCCGCAUGAACAGAUUAUGCUGCUUCUAACGAAAACUAUUUUGAUGAAUUUGACCUCAAAUCAGGUAGGACUACCCGCUGAACUUAAGCAUAUCAAUAAGCGGAGGA